UUUAAUAGUUUUUACCAAAAAUUACUUUGUUUUGGGUUAUAUAUCAUCAAAAUAACAAUUAAACGUCCUAUUAGGAUAUGAAUUGGACGUUGUAACCAACUGAAAGAAUUGGUGUGAAUGCCUCCAUAUUCUCAUCUGAAAAAGACAACAUUUGAUUGAGUCUUUUAAAAUCGGUUAUUAAUGGCAACACUAUUAUAUAAAAGGAACUUAUUGGAAACGAAUGUAUAAACGGAAGCUGAACGAAACUCAUUCUAUUUGUACAUCUUGAUUGGUUCGGACGUGUGUCGGAAUAAUUGCAGUGAAAAUGAAAGUUAGAGGCAAUAUAGAAAUUAAUUAUUCAAAAAAACGUGAUCGUCCUAAAAAGGUGAUAAAUCAUUAGUAAUAAAGAAAUAAUGGCCAGCUUAAAAAGGUGAUUACAUCUUUAAUAGUUAAUAGUGAAAAAAAAUGUGGUCGCUUGGCAAAAAUUCAUGGACCCAAAUCGGCAAACAUUCGUGAAAAAGCACGAAUUGCGGUACGUGAAGAGCGUGUUCGUUACACAAAAAUCUAUAAAAUAAAAGUGCAAAAUGAUUAAAUAAGGACUGUUAUAAUCUAAAUUGAGCAAUCGUUUAUCAGAUAUCCGGGAAGUGAACGCGCUAAGCGUAAAAUAUUCGUAAACCGAAAGACCAAAACGGCGGACCAGCAUCACGUAAAAUGCGCAGUUGCUUGCCAAAUAUUCGGAAACCGAAUGAUCAAAUGGAGAUUAAAGAUAACUCUCAAAUAUUUGAAGACAAAAUUUCUGAUGUUCGUGGAUAUGAAUGACUCUCUUAAGCAUUUGGCACGUGACAACAAUUCGGAGUUAUGGGAAAAGUCAGAAAUUCAUAUUAAAAAGUCUUGGUGGACAAUCCAGAUGCAUCUGUAGAAGAAACUGGUUACAGUUUAGGUGAAGAUAUCAAUUCAUGGGUUAUCCUCCAUAACCCAGUCCUCCACGGACCGUAAAUGUUGUGAACAAUUUUAAACAUUCAGUAGACAACCAAACUAGAUACAUAUUCUUGUGGCGUUGAAUUAUGGAAAACUGAAGUGAUGACUUUUGUGACAAAAUACGGCAAUAUGUGGAGGAGUGCGAAUUUUUGCAAGGAUUCCAAACAAUUUUUGAUUGUUAUAAUGGAUUUAGCGGCUGGCCUCUAAAUAUUUGAAUGACGAAUAUAUCUAAAAAUAUACUCGUACUUUUAGAAAACUCAAAUGUACCUAUGUCUGAUUCCAUACGGGUUCCGCCUAUGUUUAUUCAAAUCACCACCCAAGAUCGAGUUUAUCGUCAGGCCAAAUGGGUAGCAGCAAGAUUUGCAAUGCCGUCUCAAAUGCAACAACAGCAACAAAAGGUUUACCAGCGGAAAGGAUAGUAUAACCAGGACCAACGGAGUAUUCCACUGAGUUAGGGAAUACAGUGGACACAUUGCAUCGUGAAGCUUAGCAAAUGAAAAUUGCAAAAUUACAUCGUUUUAAAAUGUUGGAGUUGAUACAGUGGAGGAGGAUGAGUAUGUUGAUGCUUUAGAAAGUUUACUGCUGUUCAAGGAUAAUUAUUUUGAUAACCUCGUGUUGUAGCUGUACAUACAAGGUCAGAAGAAAAAUAAUUUACUAGAAAUCUUAUAUUUCUUAAAAGUAUAAAUAUAAUUAUAUAUUAUCUAGUUAUCCAAGCUAAAUUAAUAGUUGUUCACACAAGCAAAACAUUUCGUUUUAAUACAGUCAUUUACUACAUAAUGCCUUAAAUUAUCUGAGCUUAGUAAAUUUUAAAGCCAGGUUAUGGAUGUUAAU